AUGACGAUAAUGAGGUGGAUGAAAAACGUAAUAAAACCCUGACAUUGACUGACCAUUCAUCACACGUCUACAGACAUUCACUACCGCUGUAUCUAGACAACGUACGUAACUGCACCAUGAAGUUGCUCGCCAUAUUUCUCUGUCUAACGGUUUUCCUUGCCGUGACUAUGGCUUUCCCAGUAAUCGCAAGAGCUGUGAAUAACGCAAGAGAUACUAGCAACAGUGACCCAGAUGGUUGG